rnacentral:rRNA from 1 species
AUUGAACGCUGGCGGCAUGCUUUACACAUGCAAGUCGAACGGCAGCGCGGGCUUCGGCCUGGCGGCGAGUGGCGAACGGGUGAGUAAUGCAUCGGAACGUGCCCAGUAGUGGGGGAUAGCCCGGCGAAAGCCGGAUUAAUACCGCAUACGACCUGAGGGUGAAAGCGGGGGACCGAAAGGCCUCGCGCUAUUGGAGCGGCCGAUGUCGGAUUAGCUAGUUGGUGGGGUAAAGGCUUACCAAGGCGACGAUCCGUAGCUGGUCUGAGAGGACGACCAGCCAAACUGGAACUGAGACAGGGCCCAGACUCCUACGGGAGGCAGCAGGGGGGAAUUUUGGACAAUGGGGGCAACCCUGAUCCAGCCAUGCCGCGUGCGGGAAGAAGGCCUUCGGGUUGUAAACCGCUUUUGUUCGGGAAGAAAUCCUCUGGGCUAAUACCCCGGGGGGAUGACGGUACCGGAAGAAUAAGCACCGGCUAACUACGU